AUGCAUGGCACACGUUGGCAAUCUCCUGGCUGCUAACCACAUCCUUUAGUCUACACCUUUUGGGUUACGAUCUCUUCUGUGACAUUCCCCCACCCUAUGUUUAUUGGUAAUUUCUUAUGAAAAGAAAGAAUCAGCUGCAUGUCACAAGUCCCCCUAUUCCUCUGAUACACUUGAACAGUCAAAUUGCAGAACCAAAUCCCUCCUGCCUUCCUUCCUUGGUCCAACGAGAUGUCUUUUCUGAAGUCUUUGGUCCUAUUCACUUUAUCAGCCUUAGGCUCUCUGGGAAGUGCUCAGAAGACAGAACAGGCAGGAUCGGCUACAACCCGUGACGGAGCGCGGUUCAGCCUUACUUGCAAUCUCACUUCUGUCACAAAUCAGAUGACCGUGUGGUACCGGCAAUUCCCUGGCCAAGGACCUCAGUAUAUAACUGGUGCAUAUCCAGGAUUCAAUGGGGAGAGUAGCCACCCGAAGAGUACAUUGCAUGUCACCAAAAAGAAAGAUUCUGCUACCCUUGAGCUUCAUCACGCCUCCCUGGGAGAUGCGGCGGUGUACUUCUGUGCUCUGCAGGAUGCACAGUGUGUUAAAGAAGGGCUGCAGCUGUGCAGUAACCCUUCUCAAGGGGAGAGAGGGAAGCCUGGAGUCACAUAAGAAUAGCAAGAAACAGCAGGCGCAUUGGGACUAUAGGGAUAAUGAAGUCUGAUAUCACUUUAACUGCCAUGGAAUCAUGGAGUUUGAAGAGACCCACGAGGGCUAUUCAGUCCAAUCCCAUUCUGCUAUGUGGGAAUACACCAUCAAAGCACUCCCAACAGAUGACCAUCCAGCCUCUGUUUAGAAACCUCCAGAGAAGGAGACUGUGUCCCAUUUAUAUUGAUUUCAAGUCUAUAUCAAAAUAAAAUAAUAAAGUAUCAUCAUCAUCAUCAUCAUACCUGAAUGCACUGUUCUGCAAUUGUUUAUUGCUGAUUUUGUGGAACUCUCUAUGGCCCCUUCUACACUGCCACAUA